GCGAGUGUGGCGAAAUUGGUAUACGCGCUAGAUUUAGGUUCUAGUGGGGCAACCCGUGGGAGUUCGAGUCUCCCCACUCGCACCA
rnacentral:tRNA from 1 species